UAGUGCUUCAAACAUGAAAACUACGGUUUUCGGCGCAUGUAGUAUGGAAAAAAAAUUCAAAUUUCAUAUU